GCCUGGCACACGCCCGCGGCUGCCACUCGCGGGCUCCCCCACGCACCCUCUCCCGGGCUGGCCGGCUCGGGGCCGCUCGCGCACUCAAGCGCGUACACACAUCGCUCUUGCACACACAGGAUCUGCGGGGUAUUCGCCUCUUCGCCCCGCGCCACACCACCCAGCUGAGCAUCGCUUUCAGGCUACCCUGCGGGGGCGCAGGCCAGAUCUCCUAGACACCUGGAUGGCAGCUUAGCAUAAAGAGCCAGCUGCCUUCUCGUAGAGCCAAAACAUCAGUGUGUGGUCCAGACCGUUGGCAAGUAGACCUGGGCAUCCUGAAUCUACAGCUCGGACCGCAUCUCUGCAUCUUGCCCAAGGGGAGUCUAUGAAGCAGUUGCCUUUCUUAAUUAAAAGGGAAACGAAGAGAUGAGCCUGGAGGCUCGCCACUCACAUUCGCCUGGACACUGCUGGACAAUGGAGCAUGUCCCCACCCACAGGAGAUGUCCCAUCAGCCUCGGCUCCGGAAUAAGAAAGACGUUGUGGGCUUCCUGCCAAUCCCAAGUAGCCAUGUCGUGAGAUCCGAUACGUAAACCUUUGUGUGUUAAGCCACAGCAAUUUGGGAGUCCUUUGUUACUGCAGCGUAACCUGGAUUAUCCUGACUGGUUCUAUGAGAAAGAUACUCAAAACAGUGACUCUAGUGAGCUGUAUACCAAGGCAUCUGCCAAUCAAAGCAGCCCUACACACUCAUGCCAAACAGCCAUAUAUUAGUGGAAGCCAGAGGAAGAAAUUACAUAUUGCUUGUUAUUCCCGGUGUCAUCGAUGGCUAAGUCACCAUCCCCUAUCUUCCUCACAACAGUGUUUCUUCCCAGCUUGAUAAUGAUAGCUGUAGUUAAAAACUACCAUUCAUUGAUCAUUUGUCAUAUGUCGCACACCAUAUAAAGUAUUUACAAGUCUACGUGAGAGUCAUUCUUAGCCUCAGAUUUCAGACGUGAAAACCAAAACCCAAAGCACCAAUCUUAACAUUGCCUAAAGCCACAUAGCAUCCUAUUCCAGAGCAAAUGUUCGUAACUACUCUCCUUCAGACCAUCCCACAAACAUCUUCCCCAAAAGACAAUCUGCCUCCACUGGGUCACACUGGCUCCAUUCUUUUCUCAGAUACCAUGGUCAGCCCUGCCCUUGGUCACAAUGGAUUUAAGAGGCCUUGGUUGAAGGAUACUGUGACAGCUAUUAGAUCAAUCUGAUCAAUGGCCCCAUGAAAGAGCUGAAUAUCUAAACACUGUUUUCUGGGCCCUUUUUGGUCUUACUCUUAGCUAGUUUCUCAGCCUAUAAAUAGGACCCUGUCUCACUUUAGUGCAAUGGCUCUCAACCUUCUUAAUGCUGCAACUCCUUAGUAUAGUUUCUCAUGCUGUGGUGACCCCCAACCAUAAAUUAAUGUCACUGCUACUUCACAAUUAUAACUUUGCUACUGUUCUGAACCGUAAUGUAAAUAUUUUUGGAGAUAGAGGUUUGCCAGAGGGGUCAUGACCCUAGGUUGAGAACCUCUACUCUAGUGCCUGAGUUCCUGCUUCAGUGCUAGCUAAUGCUGGGCUUCAUCCUGUAGUAGACUUCUGGGUCUGACUUACCACCUCCACUCCAGCUGUUGCUACUUCAGCCCCUACCACAGCCAACCAGAUUUACCUCUGAUGGAUUUCCUGUGAACCUGGUAGUGUUUCAUCAACUUGCUACAAGCUAGAGUCAUUUCAGAAGAGGGAAGCUCAACUGAGUAAAUGCCACCAGCCGAUUGGACUGUGAACUGGAGCCUUUAAUUGGUUUAUGAUUGAAGUAGGAGAGCCAGAUCACUGUGGGUGGUACCGCCCCUGGGCUGGUGGUCCUGGGUUACAUAAGAAAACAGUCUGAGCAAGCCAUAGGGAGCAAGAGCCUAAGCAGCCUUUCUCCAUGGCUUCUGCUUCAGUGCCUGCCUCCAGACUUUUGCUCUGACUUUCUUCAUUGUUGAACUAUGAUGUAAGCGAAAAUAAACCCUUUCCUCCCCCA
rnacentral:lncRNA from 1 species